AUGGCGGUGGAGUCGCGCAUUACCAAGGAGGAAAUUAAGAAGGAGCCAGAGAAGUCUAUCGAUCGCGAGAAAACAUGCCUGCGGCUGCUGAGCAUCUUCACCACCAAUAAUGGCCACCACCACCGAACGGACGAGUUCUCCCAGGGAAACGUACCAUCCAGAGAGUUGUAGAUCUACGUUUGGAUGGAUGCAACCUUUGAAAAACUGACAAACUUAGUAAAAGAAGUCUACCCAGAAGCUAGAAAGAAGGGCACUCACUUCAAUUUUGCAAUCGUUUUUACAGAUGUUGAAAGACUUGGCUAUCGAGUUAAGGAGGUUGGCAGCACCAUGUCUGGCAGAAAGGGGACUGAUGAUUCCAUGACACUGCAUUCGCAGAAGUUCCAGAUAGGUUACUUGGACAUAGCAAUUACUCCUCCACAUGGGGCACCACCUCCUUCAGGGCACAUGAGGCCAUAUUAAAUUCUAUUUACUAUUUCUUGUAUUUAUUUUUCGGUCAGUUAUGUAAAAUAAAUUUACUAUUUUUCCUCCCCGGAUUAUUGUCAUUAAGCCUUUGAAUUCUAAACAAAUUAUAAUGCAUCAUCUAUUGAGGAAUUAGAUUUGGAUGUGCUAUUGUAUGAUUACUAAUAGAAAGUCCAUAUGUUUCAAGCCUUUUUGUAAAAUAUGAAGAAAAGUGCUCUUAGCAUUCUAUGUAAAACUGUACUGUUAAAUAUAUGUGUGUAAUUAAAAAAAAGCAACAGAAA